rnacentral:rRNA from 1 species
CUACGGGUCGCUGCAGUGGGGAAUAUUGCACAGUGGGCGCAAGCCUGAUGCAGCCAUGCCGCGUGUAUGAAGAAGGCCUUCGGGUUGUAAAGUACUUUCAGCGGGGAGGAAGGGAGUAAAGUUAAUACCUUUGCUCAUUGACGUUACCCGCAGAAGAAGCACCGGCUAACUCCGUGCCAGCAGCCGCGGUAAUACGGAGGGUGCUAGCGUUAAUCGGAAUUACUGGGCGUAAAGCGCACGCAGGCGGUUUGUUAAGUCAGAUGUGAAAUCCCCGGGCUCAACCUGGGAACUGCAUCUGAUACUGGCAAGCUUGAGUCUCGUAGAGGGGGGUAGAAUUCCAGGUGUAGCGGUGAAAUGCGUAGAGAUCUGGAGGAAUACCGGUGGCGAAGGCGGCCCCCUGGACGAAGACUGACGCUCAGGUGCGAAAGCGUGGGGAGCAAACAGGAUUAGAUACCCGCGUAGUC